AUAUAAUUAACUUUAAUAACGUUUCUAUACUCUGUUUCUCAAGCUGUGAGAGCCUUUUUUAUGAAACAGAGUUAUUCAACUUUUGGGUUAGUUUCACUCAACCAAAGAGUUGUAGGUUUUAUCAUUUAAUGGAGAAUGAACUAAUCCAACUUUUAUCUAUUUGUUGAUGUAGAAUUUCCUCAAUUAUUUCUUUUGCUAAUCGUAAUUAUUAUAGAAAAAUUAACAAAUAUAAGAAGUGAUUAAAAAAAACACUGAACAAA
rnacentral:sRNA from 1 species